ensembl:lncRNA regulator of cell cycle RGCC-like
UUAUAUUCAAAUCACGAAUUGAAUUAUUCUCACUCUAACGAAAAGCAUAUUCGAAAUCCCCUAUCAGACUUGGAGCUGGAGCUAACUGACCUGCUCCAGGACUUCGCUGACGUGGUUGAUGAGUUGACAGAGCCUUCACAAAGCGUCCCGUACGCAUACGAGCGGCUCCUGUCUGAUGCCAAACGGCGCACCGGGCUAGGGGACGACGGCUCAGUGGUCAGCGACAGCGGCGUGGAGGACAAUAGUGACUGCAGCAGUGAGGUGUCUCUGGGUAACAGUUGGAACACCAGUGAAGAAGAGCUCCACACUGCAGGCAUAACAGUGAUGCCCAAAGCCAGAAUGGGAGACACAGGAGACCUACAGAGAUUCAUCGACAGUUUGGACCGGGAACUUGCUGGUAUGCAUCUUAAAACAAAACAAAAAUUCAGCACAACCUGACAAUGCCAUUAUGUCCCAUUAAUUUAGUGUUUCAAUGGCUUUAUAUCCCAUUAGUCUAGUGUUUCAAUCUCUUUAUAUCCCUUUAGUCUUGUGUUUCUAUGCCAGCUGAGCUCAGUAUAUCAUGCAGUCUAUUUUCUAUUGCUGUCCCCUCACAGUUAAACCUACUAGCUGGCCUCAGUGGCCUGCACUAUUUACUGCUGGUUGGGCCUUUAAUAAUAGUAAUUCCCCUUUCCAUUGAGAUGCUAACAUGUAGAGCGGCUGGUAGCCAGUAGCCUACAAGGCGUAUAGUGCACUGCUUUUGACCAGAGCCCUAUGGGGUAAUACAUCCCUAAAGGGAAUAGAGUGCCAUUUGGAAAUCACAGCUCCCCUAGUGUCUAAAUGCAGUAUCCAGCUGAAUCCCAUAUCUCCUCUAGUGUCUAAAUGCAGUAUCCAGCUGAAUCACAGCUCCCCUAGUGUCUAAAUGUAGUAUCCAGCUGAAUCACAGCUCCCCUAGUGUCUAAAUGCAGUAUCCAGCUGAAUCACAGCUCCCCUAGUGUCUAAAUGCAGUAUCCAGCUGAAUCACAGCUCCCCUAGUGUCUAAAUGCAGUAUCCAGCUGAAUCACAGCUCCCCUAGUGUCUAAAUGCAGUAUCCAGCUGAAUCACAGCUCCCCUAGUGUCAUCCCUGCAGUAUCCAGCUGAAUCACAGCUCCCCUAGUGUCUAAAUGC